rnacentral:RNase_P_RNA from 1 species
GGGAGCGGGUGGACGGCUGACGGUGCUUCAUUAAGGAGUUGCUGAGGAAAGUCCUCCCUCCGUCGGGCAAGGGGACCCGGGGCAAUCCGGGUGUCUGAGAAGGCAGGCUCUGGAGCAGAAACGACACAGCCCGUUUCACACCGGUUUCGACCGGUCCGGAAUGAUGAGCUAGGCUCUGACGACGUAACGGGAAUUGAUGAAACGGCCAACCUCCCCGGAGCAAGUCCAAACUCAUUGGGAUGAUAGGCCCGUUGACCAAAAGGUAGGACGCUAAGUCGAAUGCCGUCUAGGACAUGUACGGUAACGUUGUGCCCAAAACAGAAGGAGGCUUACUACCCGGACCU